UACCAGCACCCCGAGUGGUCGGGACGUUUAUUGGGCCUAAAGCCUCCGUAGCCGGUUCUACAAGUCUUCCGUUAAAUCCAUCUGCUUAACAGAUGGGCUGCGGAAGAUACUAUAGGGCUAGGAGGCGGGAGAGGCAAGCGGUACUCAGUGGGUAGGGGUAAAAUCCUCUGAUCCAUUGAAGACCACCAGUGGCGAAGGCGGCUUGCCAGAACGCGCUCGACGGUGAGGGAUGAAAGCUGGGGGAGCAAACCGG
rnacentral:rRNA from 1 species